rnacentral:rRNA from 1 species
CCCGUAACUUCGGGAGAAGGGGUGCUUUCUUAACGGAAAGCCGCAGUGAAUAGGCCCAAGCGACUGUUUAGCAAAAACACAGCUCUCUGCGAAGCCGUAAGGCGAAGUAUAGGGGGUGACACCUGCCCGGUGCUGGAAGGUUAAGGAGAGGGGUUAGCGUAAGCGAAGCUCUGAACUGAAGCCCCAGUAAACGGCGGCCGUAACUAUAACGGUCCUAAGGUAGCGAAAUUCCUUGUCGGGUAAGUUCCGACCCGCACGAAAGGUGUAACGAUUUGGGCACUGUCUCAACCAGAGACUCGGUGAAAUUAUAGUACCUGUGAAGAUGCAGGUUACCCGCGACAGGACGGAAAGACCCCGUGGAGCUUUACUGUAGCCUGAUAUUGAAUUUUGGUACAGUUUGUACAGGAUAGGCGGGAGCCUUUGAAACCGGAGCGCUAGCUUCGGUGGAGGCGCUGGUGGGAUACCGCCCUGACUGUAUUGAAAUUCUAACCUACGGGUCUUAUCGACCCGGGAGACAGUGUCAGGUGGGCAGUUUGACUGGGGCGGUCGCCUCCUAAAGUGUAACGGAGGCGCCCAAAGGUUCCCUCAGAAUGGUUGGAAAUCAUUCGUAGAGUGCAAAGGCAUAAGGGAGCUUGACUGCGAGACCUACAAGUCGAGCAGGGACGAAAGUCGGGCUUAGUGAUCCGGUGGUUCCGCAUGGAAGGGCCAUCGCUCAACGGAUAAAAGCUACCCCGGGGAUAACAGGCUUAUCUCCCCCAAGAGUCCACAUCGACGGGGAGGUUUGGCACCUCGAUGUCGGCUCAUCGCAUCCUGGGGCUGUAGUCGGUCCCAAGGGUUGGGCUGUUCGCCCAUUAAAGCGGUACGCGAGCUGGGUUCAGAACGUCGUGAGACAGUUCGGUCCCUAUCCGUCGUGGGCGUAGGAAAUUUGAGAGGAGCUGUCCUUAGUACGAGAGGACCGGGAUGGACGCACCGCUGGUGUACCAGUUGUUCUGCCAAGGGCAUAGCUGGGUAGCUAUGUGCGGAAGGGAUAAGUGCUGAAAGCAUCUAAGCAUGAAGUCCCCCUCAAGAUGAGAUUUCCCAUAGCGUAAGCUAGUAAGAUCCCUGAAAGAUGAUCAGGUUGAUAGGUUCGAGGUGGAAGCAUGGUGACAUGUGGAGCUGACGAAUACUAAUAGAUCGAGGACUUAACCAU